rnacentral:rRNA from 1 species
AUUGAACGCUGGCGGCAGGCCUAACACAUGCAAGUCGAACGGUAACAGAAAGCAGCUUGCUGCUUUGCUGACGAGUGGCGGACGGGUGAGUAAUGUCUGGGAAACUGCCUGAUGGAGGGGGAUAACUACUGGAAACGGUAGCUAAUACCGCAUAACGUCGCAAGACCAAAGAGGGGGACCUUCGGGCCUCUUGCCAUCGGAUGUGCCCAGAUGGGAUUAGCUUGUUGGUGGGGUAACGGCUCACCAAGGCGACGAUCCCUAGCUGGUCUGAGAGGAUGACCAGCCACACUGGAACUGAGACACGGUCCAGACUCCUACGGGCGGCAGCAGUGGGGCAUAUUGCACAAUGGGCGCAAGCCUGAUGCAGCCAUGCCGCGUGUAUGAAGAAGGCCUUCGGGUUGUAAAGUACUUUCAGCGGGGAGGAAGGGAGUAAAGUUAAUACCUUUGCUCAUUGACGUUACCCGCAGAAGAAGCACCGGCUAACUCCGUG